rnacentral:lncRNA from 1 species
UAGCAUCAAAGCACAAGUUAAAAGAGAGAAAGCUAGAUAUGAGAAGGGGUUGUCUCUUAACACCAAAAGUGGCAGCAACAUCUGGGAUGGAAGGCGAAAUGAUGACGCGACAGAUAUGUAAGAGAACAGCCCUGAUUUGGACAAGCAAGUGAGAUCUGCACAAUAUAGAUAUGCGCACUAGAGAAACAAGUUGGAUCAAGAUCUGCGUGAAAGGAGCUACUGGUGCUAGACGCUGUGGUUGGGAGAGAAACAUAGGAUCCGUGAAACUAGAAGGUGAGUCGCACAGCGGAAGAAGGUCUGUUGGUUCGCGGGGCGACGAAUUUUGACUAAGUGUUGCUCGAUCAGAUCUGUUGCGUUGAGGAAGACAUAUUUGUCCAUGCGCGAUUUUUUUGAAACCAGAUGGUUGGAGAAGAACCAACAACGACAUUUCAGAUCUGUUCAGAUAUGUGUGAAGAGAGAUCAAAUUUAAGUAGUUUCAGUGUGAUUUCACCAAUAUCCAGUUUGAUUUGAAGAGCUGUGGGUUUCUUUGCUGAUUUUUGAUUAGUUUGAGGUAGUGCGUAGUGUCCAAUGGUGGCGCAUCUGGCAGUACAUGGAGUACUGGUUACAGCGCGUUCGCCGGCGUGUGGUGGCACGUGGGAACACGUGUAGUGCUUUAAUGGUUACUCGCAACAGAGUUUUGUGCAGUGGUGUUUUCCUGAGUGGUUUUUUAUUUCUUACAUUGGUAUUUCUCUCUUUUUUUUAAUACAUAGUGUAGGAAUUUAAAAUAACAUUCGCAAAGUAUAAGAUAGAAAAGUUUGAUGGUAAAUUGAGUUUCAGUAUAUGGAAAAUCAAGAUAAAGUAAUUUUUGGUUUUACAAGAUUUAUAGGAGACAAUUGAAGAAUAGGAUAAGAGUCAGAUAAGGCAUAUCUAUAAGAUAAAGACUUAUGUGCGAUUUUUAUGAGUGUGAUUAAUAAUAUUUUGUGAUAAAUUAUUGAAAAAAGUUUGGCUUUAGCUGUGUGGAAGAGACUAUAAGAGUUAUACUCUAUAAAAUCGAUGACAAACCAUCUUUGUUUGAAAAAAAAAUUAUACAAUUUGAGAAUGAGUGAAGGUAGACCUAUUAAAUAAUAUAUUGAUGAAUUUAUUUCAAUCAUUAUGGACAGAAAGAAAAAUGAAAGGAAUAUGCUGGACAAUUCUUAGUUUAGUGUGAUGAGAUAAGGGGAAUUCAAUUUAUAGAAUUUUACAGUGAAUCAAAACUGUAUAAGUGGUCACUUGAGUGAUUUAUAGCUUUCCAUAAAGGACAAAGUUUGUUACAACAAAUUCUUGUUGUGUAGUGUAGGUUGCAGGCUGUGCAGUGCAGAUUGUAGGUGCAAUGCUAAUGGUGUUCCUGUUGGCUGUUACAUGUUCCUUUACGCCCCCUUUCAAAUUUGGCAGUGGUAGAGGUCUCUCAACUACUCCAAGUUUGUUUCUUGAGUUAUAGAAUUGUAUUCCCCUUUGAGCUUUGGUUAGACAAUCUGUUAUUUGAUCUUGUGACGUACAUAUCUCACCUCAAAUUUUCUAUCUAGGACCUUAUCUCUGAUGAAAUGAAUGUCUACUUCUUUGUGUUUGGUCCUCGCAUGAAAGACUGGAUUAUUUGCCAAUUGGCUUGCAUUCAAGUUAUCACACCAAGUUAUAGGGACUUCUGAAAGGGGAAUGAACAAUUCUUUGAGUAGAGACUCUAACCAAGCAGUCUCACAUGACACAUGUGCCAAUGCCCUGUACUCAAAUUCCUUGCUUGAUCUUGAAACAACUCUUUGCCUUUUUGAGCUCCAAGAAACUAGAUUAGAACCAAAAUAAAUGUAGUAGCCAAUAGUUGAUCUUUUGUCCUCUCUAUUACAUGCCCAAUCUGCACCAGAAUAACCAGUGAGUGUAUAACUGCUACAUAGUUGAAUAUGUAGGCCAAAAUUCUUUGUGCCCUUUAGAUAUCUCAGUAUCCUCUUUACUGCUUGCAUAUGCUUUAUUGUUGGUUGCUGUAGGAACUGGCUCAGCUUGUUUAUAAUGUAGGCAAGGUCAGGUCUUGUAUGAGUUAUGUAUUGCAGUGCACCUUUAAUUCUUCUGUAGGUUGUAGGACUUAUGAGAGGUUCACCUUCUCGAGUUGCUUGAGUAGCAUUGAGAGCUGUUGGUGUUGAACAUGAUUUUGAGUUCUCCAUGCUUGUUUUCCUAAGCAAAUCUUCUAUGUAUUGGGUUUGUGUAAGAAAGAUUCCUGUUUCAUCUCUGGUUGCCUCAUACCAAGAAAUAGAUGCAGCGAACCCAGAUCCUUCAAGACAAAUUUCUUGUCCAAUUCUUGCACAAAUCCUUUUGACAG